UACGUAGGGUGCGAGCGUUUAAUCGGAAUUACUGGGCGUAAAGCGUGCGCAGGCGGCUUUGCAAGACAGAUGUGAAAUCCCCGGGCUUAACCUGGGAACUGCAUUUGUGACUGCAUGGCUGGAGUGCGGCAGAGGGGGAUGGAAUUCCGCGUGUAGCAGUGAAAUGCGUAGAUAUGCGGAGGAACACCGAUGGCGAAGGCAAUCCCCUGGGCCUGCACUGACGCUCAUGCACGAAAGCGUGGGGAGCAAACAGG
rnacentral:rRNA from 1 species